CAGGGGUUGGAAUCAUGAUGCUGUGGCCCCUGCAGCGUCUAAGCGGGCGAUCACGGGGAUCUCCACACGCCCGCCGGUAUAGCCGCGCCACUAUUAAAGUAGGCCGCUGGAUGAAGCUCGCAUUGCUUCCAGCGCUCCGAAUUUUAUGUGUAGUGACGCGCCGCACGCCGUGGAGGGGUGAAGCAUGUUGGACUUGCUUCAGAAGGUGCGGAACGCCG
rnacentral:ncRNA from 1 species